rnacentral:rRNA from 1 species
UGAGUAUCACGUGGGUAACCUGCCUGUAAGCUUGGGAUAACUCCGGGAAACCGGUGCUAAUACCAAAUGACAUUUCUGUUCGCAUGAACGGAAAAUAAAAGGCGGCUUUUGCUGUCACUUACAGAUGGACCCGCGUCGCAUUAGCUAGUUGGUGGGGUAAAGGCUCACCAAAGCAACGAUGCGUAGCCGACCUGAGAGGGUGAUCGGCCACACUGGGACUGAGACACGGCCCAGACUCCUACGGGAGGCAGCAGUAGGGAAUCUUCCGCAAUGGACGAAAGUCUGACGGAGCAACGCCGCGUGAGUGAUGAAGGUUUUCGGAUCGUAAAACUCUGUUGUUAGGGAAGAAUAAGUACUAACCGAAUAAGUUGGUACCCUGACGGUACCUAACCAGAAAGCCCCGGCUAACUACGUGCCAGCAGCCGCGGUAAUACGUAGGGGGCAAGCGUUGUCCGGAAUUAUUGGGCGUAAAGGGCGCGCAGGCGGUUUCUUAAGUCUGAUGUGAA